CUGGUGUUGCUAUUGAAGUCAUAGUUUUUUAAAAACCCAACUGAUUUUUUUUUAAUUAUUUAUUAUUAUUCAUAGGCUUAACUUUUGCAGAUCUGCCACUGAACUUCAGUUUUCCUGGGUCAAGAAUAGAGCCGCUGUUGUCUGAGUUCUCUCCCAUUUAGAGGACUGGAGCACAUCUUAUGAAGAAAGAGCUGGGCUUGUUCAUAUGGGAGAAGAGAGGGCUCUGGGGAGACCUCAUUGCAGCCUUCAGUACUUCAAGGGAGCUUGUAAAUGAGAGAGACACACACUUUUUACACAGAGGGGAGGUUUAGGUUAGAUGUUUGUUAGGAGAAGAUUCUUUACUCGUGAAGUGCAUGGUGAACAUGGAUUUGCAAGCAUUUUGAUGAUGCCAUUGCAGAGAACGAUUACUGUGGAGAUAUGUGGCAAAAAGCGUGCUGCUUAGAUAUGACCUGAAUCUGUUCCCUGCAUGAUUGUUCACAUGGAGUUUGCCUUUCAUAGUAAGGGGAUGACAGGAAGCUGUUUCAAGUAUAGAAGGGUGGGUUCGGGUGCAAAAAACUCAUUUGAGAGGAGAUGUUGUUUCAGUAUAGUUAGCUCCAGAUAGGUGGAGUAGCUUAAGUUGUAUAUUAUAUAGCAAACAAUAAAGGACACAUUAUAAGUGAGGGGUUUCUUCCUGAAGUAAAUUCUGAAAUGAUAUUCCAGUGCCUAUUUGAAAGAAUGUGGUAAGUUUUCCUCUUUUGAAAUAGCCCUGUCUUUUUGAGGUCCUGUGUAUGUCAUUGCGAAAGGUUUCAUAUGUGUUCGUACGCUGGGAGCAAGGGAAACAACGCUGAGAGAUGAGAGCAAAUAGCUGGAGGAGAAGCAAGUAAAAAUAGACACUUAACAGGAAGAGAAAUGUAUGUUUGGGAAGAGAUCAGUAAGGAUGAGAAUUGAUCAGGCCAUGGGGCCCAUUUUUUAACACGAUUUGUGCUGUCAGAUAUUUUUUGAUAACUUACAGUCUCUUCCCAUCUUUUCACUUUGUCUGUUUUUACACAUGGGGAAUUUAUCUUUUGUGAUUGGCACUGCUGUUCUAUUAGAUCUGAUUUUGGACAUUUUUAGGUAUGUUUUGGCUGAAGGCAAGCAGACCUGCUUUCAGGUGUGCCACAACUGAGCCUCCGUAUCGUGUCUGCCUGACUGCAUUCUGCAGCUGCUCUUGGUUCCUAAGAGGAAAGAGUGUAACAAAUGAGAUGCUGUCACUGAGGCUGUGCCACCUGCCAGGAUCACGGCCCUCCAUCAGCCCCCCAUGGCCACGCGCUCUUAGAAAGCAUGGCCACUAAUCCGUCAUUCACCACUCUGUGCAGAGCGGCAGACUCCCUCCCCAACCCACCCACACUUAUCUCAUCCUAUUGAGAGCGCUGCCUGAUCGGGCAGAAUCAAAAUGGCUCACGUGCAAUAUGAAGAGCAAGUGGGUUUGACCAGUGCUCACGCCAAACCUAAAUACGGAUUGAAGUGCACGCUGCCAGCACAAAGUGUGCAUUGUGUGGCUUUGCUGCGCGGUCCCCAGCCUCAGCUCCAGGGCUGUAAGAAUGCUGCACCCUCGCUUUGAGGGCACAACAAAGCAGCAGUGUCUGAAAUGGAAUGUGCUGCAGGUAGCGAGCUAAGCCUCCAUCACCAAAGGCAGUGGGAGGAUUAAUUAAGCUCAAGAAGGCUGUUGCUUGGAGGGACUUCACAGGAAUGCAGACCGAAGGCCCUCAAAGAGCCCACAACAAAGGGCAAAGCCAUGCGCACUGCAGCUCGUGCCAGGAUGAGCUCUGUGGGAUUAAGGGCUUGGUCUGCCUUGCAGAAAGGGCAGGAACAUCGCUGCCCUAGAGAGCAAUGUGAGCAGGAAACGGAUUUUCGGGUGGUUUUUCCUUGGUAGGGUGGAUUAAAAAAUUGCAGUCUUGCUAAUGACAUAAAUGCUACAUCUGAUACAAUCAAAUGUAUAUGAAAGUCGUAAGAUCACAUGUAAUUUGUUUUGAAUUGUGGUUUGUUUCCAAAUAAAAGACCAUAAGCACCUGUUCCAA
rnacentral:lncRNA from 1 species